UACGGAGGGGGCUAGCGUUGUUCGGAAUACUGGGCGUAAAGCGCGCGUAGGCGGACCUGCAAGUCGGGGGUGAAAGCCCGAGGCUCAACCUCGGAACUGCCUUCGAUACUGCGGGUCUCGAGUCCGGGAGAGGUGAGUGGAAUUCCUAGUGUAGAGGUGAAAUGCGUAGAUAUCUGGAGGAACACCGGUGGCGAAGGCGGCGAUCCUGGACCAAUAUUGACGCUGAGGAGCGAAAGCCAGGGGAGCAAACGGG
rnacentral:rRNA from 1 species